GCCGUGGCCUACUGGUUAGCGCUUCGGACUUGUAACCGGAGGGUUGCCGGUUCGAACGCCGACCAGUAGGCA
rnacentral:tRNA from 1 species